rnacentral:rRNA from 1 species
AUUGAACGCUGGCGGCAUGCCUUACACAUGCAAGUCGAACGGCAGCACGGGAGCAAUCCUGGUGGCGAGUGGCGAACGGGUGAGUAAUAUAUCGGAACGUGCCCAGUCGUGGGGGAUAACGUAGCGAAAGCUACGCUAAUACCGCAUACGAUCUACGGAUGAAAGCGGGGGAUCGCAAGACCUCGCGCGAUUGGAGCGGCCGAUAUCAGAUUAGCUAGUUGGUGGGGUAAAAGCUCACCAAGGCGACGAUCUGUAGCUGGUCUGAGAGGACGACCAGCCACACUGGAACUGAGACACGGUCCAGACUCCUACGGGAGGCAGCAGUGGGGAAUUUUGGACAAUGGGCGAAAGCCUGAUCCAGCCAUGCCGCGUGCAGGAUGAAGGCCUUCGGGUUGUUAAACUGCUUUUGUACGGAACGAAAGACUCUUUCUAAUAAAGAGGUCCAUGACGGUACCGUAAGAAUAAGCACCGGCUAACUACGUGCCAGCAGCCG